UUGCAAGAGUCACCAUGAGCCACUUAUUAAUCUUAUUUGCAUUUUAAAAGGACUGCAGUGUGGAGAAUUGAAUAUAGCAAAAGAAUACAAAUGAGAAGGACAACUAUUUUCAUGUGUUUAAUUUCCCUAAAUAAUUUGUAAUUGACUUCAGCGUAGGACCACUGCAUUCUUCUGUCUUUCUGCCCAGAGAAACACCUGUAACUUCAAAUUUCAUAGAAAUUUAUUAAUGAAAUCAUUUUUUUUAAUUUCAUGUCCAGCUCUUCCUGAUUCCAUGGACUGUAGCCCGCCAGGCUCCUCUGUCCAGGCAAGAAUACUGGAGUGGGUUGCCAUUUCCUUCUCCAGGGGAUUUUCUCGACCCAGGGAUCAAACCAGCAUCUCUUGCAUUGGGCUCAAUUCACAUUCCCCUCUCCUCCCUGUUUGUUUUCAUUGCAAUCAAGGAAAGUUUACUGCAUUCAUACUUCUUAAAGCUACUCCUAAGGAGGCCUGGUGUGCUGCGAUUCAUGGGGUUGCAAAGAGUCGGACACGACUGAGCGACUGAACUGAACUGAAGCUGUACUUUCCUCCUAUUUCUGGAAAUUAUUUUCCUGCUAAAAUGAAUUAUUCUCCACUUUGUACCUAUAGAACUCAAUUUAAUUUUUAUCUUUCCACUUCUUCAAUUUGUCGAGAUGCUUUGAAUUUAAAUUCUACAAUAAGAAAGUCAAUCCCCCCAAGUAGAUGUCAUCAGUACAAAUGUAAUGUGUAUUCAUUCAAGUAAUUGAUAGAAGAGUGUCUGUUUUCUGCCCGGAAGAUGUUAAUCUGAGCCCUGCCCUCUCCAGUUAAUUUAGAAAUAUUGUUAACUGCUAUGAUAAAAUUUAUUAUGCAAAGGGGAAAAUGUGAUAUAAACAAUCAAAUCAUUUUAUUUCUUGAAUGCUUUGUAUAUAUCAUACUAGACUAAGCAGAGAAGGCAACGGCACCCCACUCCAGUACUCUUGCCUGGAAAAUCCCAUGGAUGGAGGAGCCUGGAAGGCUGCAGUCCAUGGGGUCGCUGAGGGUCGGACACGACUGAGCGACUUCGCUUUCACUUUUCACUUUCAUGCAUUGGAGAAGGAAAUGGCAACCCACUCCAUUGUUCUUGCCUGGAGAAUCCCAGGGACGGGGGAGCCUGGUGAGCUGCCGUCUAUGGGGUUGCACAGAGUUGGACACGACUGAAGUGACUUAGCAGCAGCAAGCAAAUUAAAAUCAACCAAAUGUAUUUUUUUAUCAGUCUCACAUUUCUAAAGCAAAUGAAAUCAAAUAAUAAGGUUUUGGG
ensembl:lncRNA